AGUAAGAUAGCUGGGUCAAAUGGUGGUUCCAUUCCAAAUUUUCUAAGUAAUCUCCAUACUGCUUCCCAGAUUGGUUGUAUCAAUUUGCAGUCCCACCAGCAAU
rnacentral:pre_miRNA from 1 species